GACGAACGCUGGCGGCGUGCUAACCCCUGCCCGUUGAACGGAAAGGCCCCGCUUUUGGGGGGUGCUCGAGUGGCGAACGGGUGAGUAACACGUGAGUAACCUGCCCUUGACUUUGGGAUAACUUUAGGAAACUGGGGCUAAUACCGGAUAGGAGCCCCUGCCGCAUGGUGGGGGUUGGAAAGUUUCGGCGGUUGGGGAUGGACUCGCGGCUUAUCAGCUUGUUGGUGGGGUAGUGGCUUACCAAGGCUUUGACGGGUAGCCGGCCUGAGAGGGUGACCGGCCACAUUGGGACUGAGAUACGGCCCAGACUCCUACGGGAGGCAGCAGUGGGGAAUAUUGCACAAUGGGCGGAAGCCUGAUGCAGCAACGCCGCGUGCGGGAUGACGGCCUUCGGGUUGUAAACCGCUUUCGCCUGUGACGAAGCGUGAGUGACGGUAAUGGGUAAAGAAGCACCGGCUAACUACGUG
rnacentral:rRNA from 1 species